rnacentral:rRNA from 1 species
GACGAACCGAGCGAACGUUAUUCGGAAUCACUGGGCUUAAAGGAUGCGUAGGCGGGCCCGCGAGUCAGGGGUGAAAUCCCACGGCCCAACCGUGGAAGUGCCUCUGAUACCGCGGGCCUAGAGGGGGACAGGGGCAUGCGGAACUUCCGGUGGAGCGGUGAAAUGCGUAGAUAUCGGAAGGAACACCGGUGGCGAAAGCGGCGUGCUGGAUCCCUACUGACGCUGAGGCACGAAAGCCAGGGGAGCAAACGGG